UCAUUUACACCCCUCAAGCUAAGCUUGGUACUGGGACCUGCCCCCGGGGCACUCCCGAAAUGCAGCGGCGGUGCGGCCGGACCCCCUAGCGCAGUGACUUUCAAUCUCGCUACAUGGAGUUCGCGUCCGUCCCGGCCGGACAACAACCAACUAUUUACACGAUUGACCUCGGAUCAGGUAGGGAUACCCGCUGAACUUAA
rnacentral:misc_RNA from 1 species